UGGGGAAUCUUCCGCAAUGGACGAAAGUCUGACGGAGCAACGCCGCGUGAGUGAAGACGGCCUUCGGGUUGUAAAGCUCUUUGAUCCGGGACGAAAGAGCCUGAGGUAAAUAGCCUAAGGAAGUGACGGUACCGGAAAAGCAAGCCACGGCUAACUACGUGCCAGCAGCCGCGGUAAUACGUAGGUGGCAAGCGUUGUCCGGAAUUAUUGGGCGUAAAGCGCGCGCAGGCGGCUUACUAAGUCCAUCUUAAAAGUGCGGGGCUUAACCCCGUGAUGGGAUGGAAACUGGAAAGCUGGAGUAUCGGAGAGGAAAGUGGAAUUCCUAGUGUAGCGGUGAAAUGCGUAGAGAUUAGGAAGAACACCGGUGGCGAAGGCGACUUUCUGGACGAAAACUGACGCUGAGGCGCGAAAGCGUGGGGAGCAAACAGG
rnacentral:rRNA from 1 species